rnacentral:lncRNA from 1 species
UUUAUUUUGAAGGAUUCGAUGGUUUUAUUAGGAAUGUUAAUAGAUAUGGAUAUUUAAGAUUUUAUCUAAAUCCAAAUUGAUCAGAUUUAAUCGAUGCUAAAUAGGUAUGACUUUGGUCGCAGGUAUAAAAAUAAAAAUAAGAUUGAUUCGAGUUUGGGCAUGAUUUUUUCUUUUUUUUUUCAACACACGACCGAAAUCCAAAUUUAAAUUUUGUUAGCUUAAAUAGACCAACAUCCUGCUUUGUGGGACGAGGUCAGGUUAAGCCGAGCCAUGUUCGGAAUGAUGUGAAACUGAAUUGAAUCAAGUCAUAUUCGAAGUAAUAUGAGGCUGAUUGUGCCGAAUCACAAUCAAGACCUGUGAGCGUUGUAUCUGUACGCUUUAAAUGAAUUAAUUGUGUAUUUCUAACCGUUCGAGCUUUUGAAAUUAAUAGUGAGGGCCAACAAUCCGACAAAUCCAAACCCGAACCUGAUUUAUAUUAUGUAGUAUAUAAAAAAUUAAAUUUAUACUUUAAAAAUUUAAUAGUAUGGUCUGUUUUUAAAAUUUGGUAAAGAAAAAUGAUUGCUUUCGGAUUUGAGUU